AGAAAGGAGGGAAGCGAAGCGGAGAAGAGGAAGAAGAAGAAGGAGGAGGGAGGCAGCCCGAGCGGAGCGCGCACUCUUUCCUCGACGCUCCUGAAUGAGAACCCAGUGAUUGUGGGAAGGAUUCCUCCCGCAGAAGGCCAAGGGAAGGGAGUCCCACGCCUCUUCGUCCUCCUCUGUUUACCCUGAGAGAAGCGGAGUAGCCGACCUCUUUUUCCUCGACGUGAUGUUUUUUCCUCGCCCCUUCCCGAUCCGGCUCUGGUUCAGGUGAAAGACUCCGUGUUUCCCUCUCUCAUAGACGCUUUGAGGCGCAAAAGGAUGGAGCUGCGCGGGGAAGAGAGGGCUGGGGAGCCGCUUUGAGGACGCCAUCCGGAUCAGAGCCUGCGAGGAAGAUCUGGGGAGGCACCCAAAGCGGGUCAAGAGCAGGACGUGAGGACAGAGCCGGGGGAGGAAAAAAUCAGAGAGGGAGACGGUCUCUGGUGCUUUGUGGAAUCAGAGAACCCUCGAGUUGGAAGUGCAGACCUUAUGGCUUUCCCUUGAAGGGAAAGGCGUCGAAGAACCCCUUUGGGCGACACCCCGAGACUGGGAUUGCCUUGAACCUCGCCCUCCUCGUCCCUCCAUCCCAGCCAGCCAAGACUCCGGGCUGAAAACGCCUCUCGGAAAGCAGCGCUCUGGAGCAAGACGUCCAGCCUCAAGGAAGGGGCUUCCUUGUCUCUUUUCCCCCUCGUUUCUUGGGGGGGAAAGGAAGGGAGAGGCGGGGAGCAUGGCCAGGAGCAGCCCGGCAGAGAGCAGGCUCCCUUCGUGGUGCUGAAAGGCGAGCCCACUCCGCCGAGAUGGAAUAAAUACCGGGGCGCCGGGAGGUGGGAGUCUCUCUCUCUCUCUGCCGCACUCCAGAGAGAGUCAACGGCCGUGUCUUUUCUUACAAUUCUUAGUUUUGGUACACUUGUAUCACUGAUACAGGCAAGGCAGGGCUGUGAGACUAACUUAUUAUAUGUGUGUGGGGUUUCCCCCCCUUUCUUUCCUUUCCUGGACGGAUUAAAGAGAGCGCGGCGACGUUUCCUCUUCCUCCUCCUCCUCCUCCUCUUCCUCUCUCGCCUCUUUGUGUUUUGUUUGGUCGGAAAGCGGGCCAAGCCCAGCGUCCCGACCCCAAAGCGCCUCUCCUGAUCGAUCUGAGAGGAGUGGAAACUUCUGCAUCCCUAGGAAAGUAGCCCUUGCUUGGAAGAAGAGCCUCCCUCGCCUCCUUGGAGUCCCCACCACCCCUUCGCCCUUUUUGGCUCCUGGAUGCUGCCGCCGGGUUUGGGCUCGGGAAGCGAUGCGAGUCCCAUAAGGCUGGAGUUUCCCUCCGGGGCCUGACGGAGGAUCGCUAGGCGGGUCUGCAGGAUGAAUAAAAGAUACUUGCAGAAAUCAACAAAAGGAAAACUGCUAAUAAUAAUAUUUGUUGUAACACUGUGGGGCAAAAUAGCAUCUGGAGCAAACCACCACAAAGCUCAUCAUGUUAAAACUGGAACUUGUGAAGUGGUGGCUCUCCACCGAUGUUGCAAUAAAAACAAGAUAGAAGAAAGAUCACAGACAGUCAAGUGCUCCUGCUUCCCCGGGCAGGUAGCAGGUACCACUCGAGCUGCGCCUUCUUGUGUUGAUGCUUCAAUAGUGGAGCAAAAAUGGUGGUGCCACAUGCAACCAUGUCUUGAAGGAGAGGAAUGUAAAGUUCUUCCAGAUCGAAAAGGAUGGAGUUGUUCUUCUGGGAAUAAAGUGAAAACAACAAGGGCAAACGUGUAAAACCUUCAAGAACAAGGAGAUUUCUGCUGUGCCUGAUGACAAUUUUUGAUUAUUCCACACACACACCAUACUCUGGCUCCACGUUUGGAGAAAUAGUUGUGAUGAAUCCUAAUCUUGGUUGGAUUCUCAGGAAAUGCCAGAAGGUGUGCUGAGGCGUGAAGAGUCAAAAACACUCCUGAAAAAAGAUGUUCCAGCCUUGGCUUGUUAUGCAAAAAGCAACAGGAACCACACUGAUAUGAAGGAAAAAGCAAUACUUUAUCCUGUUGCAAAAAAUUCUGGUUUCUUAGCUAUUGGUUUCUGUUCAAACCAAGACUUGUUGCUCCUUUUAGAGAUAACUGGAUAGCAAAAGGCAAAUCGAAUCAAAUUGAACACUGAUAACAUUAAAAACAGCCAAGCAGGAAGUUUUAACACUUAAGUAUGGUCACUGAGGCAAGGUCUGAACCUACAGGGAUGUGCUGUUGCUUCAGUAAGAACAUGCAUGGUAAUGGAAGGUCACAUAGGAUCAAAAUUGCUGGGAUGUCAGACUCGCAGACCUUCUGUUGGAAAGAGUUCAAUGGACUGUACUGUGUACAUUUGUAAAAAUAGCAAACCUGAAGAAAUAAAUGAUUAAGAAAGUGCAGAGGUGAUGCUAAAGGGACACCAAAGAAACCCUAAUCUUUUGGAUCCUUGACUGAGACUUAUGAAAAUUCACCUCUAUGAAAGGCGUCUAUGAAAUUGACUGAUCCCUUCCCUCUGCAACCUUUUUCUGGUCCUUCAUUCCAAUUACAGCUGGGACUGUGCAGUGCUUUAAUCAAAUUACUGUUCCAGAAAUUGUCCUCUGAUACAGCACAGGCUUAGACCCCUUUAAUUUGUAUUCUGCUCCUGAACCUCCAAGGCUACAUAUUUCAAUACACUGAUGUUCUUUUUCUUACAGGAAUGGAAAUAUAUAUCCAUUGUUAAUCAUUAUUGUUGACAUGUAGUAAUCUGAACGCCUCAUUCAUAUAUGAAUGUAUCAUUAGUCAGAUAUGUUUCCCGACAGCUAACCAGGUACUCCAACUUCUUUCAGAUGAAUAAAGGGUAGUCAAAACUGAAUUUUCAUAUUCCCCAGUAUUUUAUGCUAUUAAAAUAUCUGUUUUGUAUAAUUUCAAGAAGAUGGAUGUUCCUGUAUACUCUUUGAUUUAUUAAUAUUAGGUCCUAAAAGAUUGUGGUAAAUAAUAAAUGACAUUAGCUAGUCCCUUUAUGAGAGUAGCCAGGAAUGCAUGUUAAUUUUUCAGUUCUAGGAUUUAAUGAUAUUCAUUCAGAUGUGUCUUUUUUCAGUUUGCUUUUUUUAAUGGCUGUUUCUUGCUUGGACUUUAUUAAUUAAAUGCUUAAGUUAGAUGUUUACUCAGCUCUGUUUCUUGAUAGAAUCCCCCCCCCCCUCCCAAUCCCGUCUUCAAGUCUGGCAUCCAUUAUGGCUUUCUGUGGCUACCCCAGAUAUCUUUAAAUCAUCCUGUGGCCAUUUUGUUCAGCCAAAAAUUCUUUUUUUUUCUAUUUCCUUCGAUUUCAGUAUCUAUUUUAAAAUCUUGAUCAGUUGUUUCAUAGAGAACCUUUAAUGUUUAAAAUGCCUUAAGCAGCUGUAAACAUUUUCCCCUAAGUUAUUACAGAAUGUAUAAUUUUAUAUGUCAUUUAAUAUAUGCCAUGCUAUCUGAAAAUAGGAAGGCAAAGGUGGGUGACUGUUUCUUGCUCAUUCCAUGUUCAUGCUGCAAAUUGUUCUUGGAGAGGACAAAACAAAAUUUAUACUCUUUCGUUUUAUGUGUCGAUAUCAAGACUUCUUGGUCUUGAGUCUUCAUAGGAAGAAUUGUGCCCCAAAGCUCAUGUUUUUUCUUGAAAUGCUUACUGAUAUCUCUGAAAAUAAAGUGAAUUCUUUCCACAAGUGAUUGACAUGGCUAAUUAGUAAUAAAUUGGUUUUUAUGAUGGAUGGAUAAUUUGGGCACUCUCUGUCCUGUAACCUGAUACAAGAUUGCUCCAUGGCAAUUUAAUUAUCUCUCUUGUAUUAUGGCACUGGAUAGUGGAAAACUAAUGAUUGUUAGAAAUGGAUUUGAGAUGCAUUGUGUAUCAUUCUGCUACACACUAAUCCAAACUUUUGCAGGAAAGGUAUUUCCCCCCAUUAUUUUUUAAUUAGGGAAAAUUGGAUCUAGCAUCAGUAAAUUAUCUUACUAUUUUGAAAAAAAAAUAUUAUAUAGAUUUUGAUUUUUAACAUAUGUGUAUUGGGGGAACAUCUAAUUUGAAAAUAACAAUGAUUUCCUUUGGUUGGGACAGUACAACGUAGAAAUGUGUAAUUUUGUAGCCGUUAUCAGUUUGGCCACAGUUUAGCCAACAUUCUACAAUGUGCAUCUCAGCAUUUAUUUUCUUUGUGUUAUUCUUACAACCAACACUGAAAAUAUUGUAUUAUAUACAAGUGUAAAACAUGCAUAUCAAUAGGUGAAAAUAAAUGGAUUUUCAAAUACAUUGAA